AUGUAUUCAGUUCGUUUAAGAUAAGCUGGCAAUAAAAAAGCAGAGUUUCUAUCCACGAUAGUGGGCUUUUUUUAUUGUGCUUAUUUUACGAAUGUGAACAUGGAUUACGGCUGGGAAUGGCCUUUUUAAGGCUAGGCCUUUUGUUGUCGUGUUUCCUCUCGUCGUAUAAAUACAGACCAAAGCCCGCGUUGCCGGACGAUGGCCUGUAUUUUUUAU
rnacentral:ncRNA from 1 species